AGUAGAAAAUCUUCUUACUAGAAGAAGAAUUCAGCUUGGACCACCCGGCAGCAAACACGCUCGUUCCAGGCUAGGCCAUUCAUUAUUGUCGCAGACCAUGACUGGAUGAGAGACCGAGCCAUUGCUUACUCAGAAGAGCUAAGGAAAGUUAAUGUAGAUAAUCUCGUGCGGCCGUGCUAGUGUACAAAGAUGCGGUUCACGAGUUUGCUACCCUCAACAUGUUUCGUAGGACUCGACAAGCUCAGGCUUGUCCAGAAGACAUUGCAAUCUGGGCCAAGAAAUACAUCUCUCUCCAUGGCCACGAGUUCUCAUACUAGUGUUUUGAAACUCCAUGUGGCAAAAAAGGUCAACCAAAAGUAAACCGUGUUUUUACGGGAGACAAAGCAAAAGAACACAUGCAGACCGAAAAGAUUGAUAUCAUCGUUGCAAUCAUCGUAUCAUGUGAUUUGUCUCUUCUAUUUAGAGUUCAAGCUUCUGUUGUAUAUCAUCGUAUCGAGUAACGUCCAUUUUGAUUAACCCAACCAAACCAAAUGCA